AACGAACGCUGGCGGCAGGCCUAACACAUGCAAGUCGAGCGCGCCCUUCGGGGUGAGCGGCGGACGGGUGAGUAACGCGUGGGAACGUGCCCUUUUCUACGGAAUAGCCUCGGGAAACUGAGAGUAAUACCGUAUACGCCCUUUGGGGGAAAGAUUUAUCGGAAAAGGAUCGGCCCGCGUUGGAUUAGGUAGUUGGUGGGGUAAUGGCCUACCAAGCCGACGAUCCAUAGCUGGUUCGAGAGGAUGAUCAGCCACACUGGGACUGAGACACGGCCCAGAAUCCUUCGGGAGGCAGCAGUGGGGAAUCUUAGACCAUGGGGGCAACCCUGAUCUAGCCAUGCCGCGUGAGUGAUGAAGGCCUUAGGGCUGUAAAGCUCUUUCAGCUGGGAAGAUAAUGACGGUACCAGCAGAAGAAGCCCCGGCUAACUCCGUG
rnacentral:rRNA from 1 species